AGAGUUUGAUCAUGGCUCAGAUUGAACGCUGGCGGCAGGCCUAACACAUGCAAGUCGAGCGGUAGCACAGAGAGCUUGCUCUCGGGUGACGAGCGGCGGACGGGUGAGUAAUGUCUGGGAAACUGCCUGAUGGAGGGGGAUAACUACUGGAAACGGUAGCUAAUACCGCAUAACGUCGCAAGACCAAAGUGGGGGACCUUCGGGCCUCAUGCCAUCAGAUGUGCCCAGAUGGGAUUAGCUAGUAGGUGGGGUAACGGCUCACCUAGGCGACGAUCCCUAGCUGGUCUGAGAGGAUGACCAGCCACACUGGAACUGAGACACGGUCCAGACUCCUACGGGAGGCAGCAGUGGGGAAUAUUGCACAAUGGGCGCAAGCCUGAUGCAGCCAUGCCGCGUGUGUGAAGAAGGCCUUCGGGUUGUAAAGCACUUUCAGCGGGGAGGAAGGCGGUGAGGUUAAUAACCUCACCGAUUGACGUUACCCGCAGAAGAAGCACCGGCUAACUCCGUGCCAGCAGCCGCGGUAAUACGGAGGGUGCAAGCGUUAAUCGGAAUUACUGGGCGUAAAGCGCACGCAGGCGGUCUGUCAAGUCGGAUGUGAAAUCCCCGGGCUCAACCUGGGAACUGCAUUCGAAACUGGCAGGCUAGAGUCUUGUAGAGGGGGGUAGAAUUCCAGGUGUAGCGGUGAAAUGCGUAGAGAUCUGGAGGAAUACCGGUGGCGAAGGCGGCCCCCUGGACAAAGACUGACGCUCAGGUGCGAAAGCGUGGGGAGCAAACAGGAUUAGAUACCCUGGUAGUCCACGCUGUAAACGAUGUCGAUUUGGAGGUUGUGCCCUUGAGGCGUGGCUUCCGGAGCUAACGCGUUAAAUCGACCGCCUGGGGAGUACGGCCGCAAGGUUAAAACUCAAAUGAAUUGACGGGGGCCCGCACAAGCGGUGGAGCAUGUGGUUUAAUUCGAUGCAACGCGAAGAACCUUACCUGGUCUUGACAUCCACAGAACUUAGCAGAGAUGCUUUGGUGCCUUCGGGAACUGUGAGACAGGUGCUGCAUGGCUGUCGUCAGCUCGUGUUGUGAAAUGUUGGGUUAAGUCCCGCAACGAGCGCAACCCUUAUCCUUUGUUGCCAGCGGUUAGGCCGGGAACUCAAAGGAGACUGCCAGUGAUAAACUGGAGGAAGGUGGGGAUGACGUCAAGUCAUCAUGGCCCUUACGACCAGGGCUACACACGUGCUACAAUGGCAUAUACAAAGAGAAGCGACCUCGCGAGAGCAAGCGGACCUCAUAAAGUAUGUCGUAGUCCGGAUUGGAGUCUGCAACUCGACUCCAUGAAGUCGGAAUCGCUAGUAAUCGUAGAUCAGAAUGCUACGGUGAAUACGUUCCCGGGCCUUGUACACACCGCCCGUCACACCAUGGGAGUGGGUUGCAAAAGAAGUAGGUAGCUUAACCUUCGGGAGGGCGCUUACCACUUUGUGAUUCAUGACUGGGGUGAAGUCGUAACAAGGUAACCGUAGGGGAACCUGCGGUUGGAUCACCU
rnacentral:rRNA from 4 species